AAUCCCAGCCUACGAAUUCAAUAACAAAAUAAAUCAUGCAUAAUUAAACAUUACCUCGAUUUAGACUACUUGGGUAGCCUAUGGCAUAAGGCUUGGCUACACAGUGGUACCGAAAACCGUAAUCUGAUUUUGAU